AAGGGCCAUCGCUCAACGGAUAAAAGGUACUCCGGGGAUAACAGGCUGAUACCGCCCAAGAGUUCAUAUCGACGGCGGUGUUUGGCACCUCGAUGUCGGCUCAUCACAUCCUGGGGCUGAAGUAGGUCCCAAGGGUAUGGCUGUUCGCCAUUCAAAGUGGUACGCGAGCUGGGUUUAGAACGUCGUGAGACAGUUCGGUCCCUAUCUGCCGUGGGCGUUGGAAGAUUGAGAGGGGCUGCUCCUAGUACGAGAGGACCGGAGUGGACGCACCGCUGGUGUUCGGGUUGUGAUGCCAAUUGCAUUGCCCGGUAGCUACGUGCGGAAAAGAUAAGCGCUGAAAGCAUCUAAGCGCGAAACUUGCCUCGAGAUGAGUCUUCCCUUGGACCUUGAGUCCACUGAAGGAACGUUUAAGACUAAGACGUUGAUAGGCUGGGUGUGUAAGCGUAGCGAUACGUUGAGCUAACCAGUACUAAUGAUCCGUGAGACUUAACCUUACAA
rnacentral:rRNA from 1 species